UACGUAGGGGGCAAGCGUUGUCCGGAAUCAUUGGGCGUAAAGCGCGCGUAGGCGGUCCUGUAAGUCCGCUGUGAAAGUCGGGGGCUUAACCCUCGGAUGCCGGUGGAUACUGCCGGGCUUGAGUACGGAAGAGGCGAGUGGAAUUCCUGGUGUAGCGGUGAAAUGCGCAGAUAUCAGGAGGAACACCAAUUGCGAAGGCAGCUCGCUGGGACGUUACUGACGCUGAGACGCGAAAGCGUGGGGAGCAAACAGG
rnacentral:rRNA from 1 species